rnacentral:lncRNA from 1 species
GUUUGCCAUAUACCAUUGCUGGUCACUUGCACGAAGAAGGCGAAAAAACUAAAGCAGAAAAUAUCAACGCAAGCAGUCAGAGAAAAUGUUGGCGAAACUUUUGCUGGCUCUUUGUUGCAUAUCAGCAUGUGAAGGUAAAUAUAUAUAUAUAUAUAUAUAGUGAAACCUUAAAUUUUAUGUACCAGAGGGCAUACUUACACCAGCAAAUUAGUUACGUCACAACGUUAUAAAUAAAUUAUAAAAUGAGCAAAUUACGCAUUUAAUUCAAUCUGAUUGGGAAGGAAGUCAAAAUCUUGCUAAUUUCUCUUCAAAUUUCAAUCCAAAUUAACCUGUUUGUAUAUAUAGGGGGUGACUAGAUCCCAUUUCCACUGGCCUUGAAAUUCGCAUUACAGUCGAACCCCUAUUAAGCGGACACCUUCGGGACCUCGCCUAAGUGUCCGCUUAAAAGGGGUGUACGCUUAAAAGGGGUAUGUAGAAAAACACAGCAGGAGGCAAAGGUGUAUGAUUAGGUGUGUAAUUUGAGUAUCAAAACAGUAAAAAAUAUCUAAAAAAAUAUGAAAAUUUCUUUGUUCAUAAAAGUUCGUUAGAAAAUGUAUACGUCUCUCACAGUCAUAUAAAAAAGGAAUCGAUACAAGUUUGCUUUCGAGGCUCACGCAGACGAUAGCCCAUUAUAAUGUCAUUUACAUAAAAAUGGCGUUGAAAAGUUCUUCCAAACCUUGACAUUGUAGUGCGAAUUCUGUGAGCCGCUGGACAACUUUAAGGGCUUUGGAGGACGAUUUAAUGACUGGUUCGUUUACUUCGUUAAGAGACCAGCCAAAUUCGUCAUCUUCGUUCAGUUCGUUGUCAUCAUCAGUGAUCUGACACAUAUCUUUCGGCUCCUCGGCUGGCGGUUCAAUUGCACUCCUCCGUCCUCGUUGGUCACUACCUCAAUUGAAUCUUGGCUCUGAUGUCUUCGCGCCAAGUUGGUGUGACACUGUCACUGUCAAUGUGCCAUGUAAAUUGAUCUCAAUUGUUAUUCACUGUCGAAUAUUGAAUACAUUUUAUCAGACAAUCUGUCAUCUGUCUGCUUAAGAGAGGUUGGUUUGCCCAUUGGGACCUCAAGUAAGGUGUCCAGUGUCCGCGUCCGUUAAAGAGGGGUGUCCGCUUAAUAGGGGUUAUGAUAAUAGUAUUUUAUUAAAGAAAACUAAUGGGACCUGAGAUAUGUGUCCGCUUAAAAGAGCUAGGUGUCCGCUUAAGAGAGGUGUCUGCUUAUAGGGGUUCGACUGUAUUCCCUUAAUUGCGACAUUUUCAGCGAUAUAGGCGAUAAAUGGUGAAAGUGAACUUAAUAUUAAACGCCGUGGCAUUUAAUCGAGUAAAUACGGUGUUCGAAUUUUUCCAAAAUUCGUCGAUUACUUGCUUACCUAAAGAUACGAUUGAUUUUUAGGAGGAUGGGUAAACCUUGGCAAUGGCUGUACUUCUGCUAGGGGGAAUCACCCCGCACUGUUAACAUACCGUGGUACUGGUAGGUCUGGUUUUGUGUCUGCUUUCAGGCUGACGCAUAUACGUGGAAAAAUUGGAUGUCAUGCAUGCUAAUGGAAGGACAAAUUGAGGAUGUAUACUGCUCAUCACCGUACCAACAUGUACGUUACAGAUGUGAAGAACGUUGUCAUGUACCCUUCACCUGUGUUGGUGAAGCCAUUUCAAUCCGGUGGAUGGUAUCAUAUCCCUGGCUACUUUGCGAAUUCACCCCAACUUGCCUUUUCAGAUGUUGGCCCCAGGUAUAUAUAUUCCGGACACCAGAUGAGAGUAUGGUAUGGAGAGGAUCUGUACGGGUACACUGAAAAGGAUAACCAUGGCUACACCUGCUUCAAAGCUGAGAUAUUCUUCGUUUACUAUGCAUGAAUCAUGUGAAAUAUCAAUGAUACAUGUGAAAAAAGCUGGACCUGCACGAUUAGACUCAAUAACCCAUGUUUAACGAUAGCUACGUACUCGUAUUGUUUUUUUUUUAAUUGUACGAGCCAUUAUAUUCCAAUCAUUUAGUUAGUAAAUAAGACAUAUUUGUUGUGAAGUUAAAUGUAUAUAUUGCUGAUUUUUGCAAUGCAUGCGUACAAAUAUACAAUGUAUAGUAUAAUGCAAUGAAACGUGAUAAAAUUUAAUAAUAAAAACAUGCUAAUGAAAAGAGGUUGAAUCUGUCCACUAUAUACUGGGGGGGGGGGCACUACUGUAUAAGGGGCCAUGCAAAUAUACGGGGCCGGAGCAAAAGGGGACGGGGUACAUACUUUUUUGAGCUGCAUAGAAGCGAGGCACACAGAAGAAGCGGGGCAUACAAAGAAGCGGGGCAGCAACUUUUUUAGUAAAGUUCCGAUCGGGGCUGGAGAUUUUUAUCACACCAACCUAAGCGGGGCUUGCUUUUUUUAACAUUCAAAAUUGCACGAUUUGCCCCGGCCCGGGGGUACAACAAACUUUGCAAGGAUUCUAAUGUUUAAUGCCAGCAUUUAUUUGUGAAAGUGGAAGAUCAUAUCUUAUAAGACUAACAAAUUUUAAUAUUGUUGAGACGAUCAGUGGAAAAC